rnacentral:rRNA from 1 species
GAUGAACGCUGGCGGCGUGCCUAAUACAUGCAAGUCGAGCGAACGGACGAGAAGCUUGCUUCUCUGAUGUUAGCGGCGGACGGGUGAGUAACACGUGGAUAACCUACCUAUAAGACUGGGAUAACUUCGGGAAACCGGAGCUAAUACCGGAUAAUAUUUUGAACCGCAUGGUUCAAAAGUGAAAGACGGUCUUGCUGUCACUUAUAGAUGGAUCCGCGCUGCAUUAGCUAGUUGGUAAGGUAACGGCUUACCAAGGCAACGAUGCAUAGACGACCUGAGAGGGUGAUCGGCCACACUGGAACUGAGACACGGUCCAGACUCCUACGGGAGGCAGCAGUAGAGAAUCUUCCGCAAUGGGCGAAAGCCUGACGGAGCAACGCCGCGUGAGUGAUGAAGGUCUUCGGAUCGUAAAACUCUGUUAUUAGGGAAGAACAUAUGUGUAAGUAACUGUGCACAUCUUGACGGUACCUAAUCAGAAAGCCACGGCUAACUACGUG